rnacentral:rRNA from 1 species
UGCCAGCCGCCGCGGUAAUACGGAGGGAGCUAGCGUUGUUCGGAAUUAUUGGGCGUAAAGCGCGCGUAGGUGGUUAUUUAAGUUGGCUGUGAAAGCCCCGGGCUCAACCUGGGAGGGUCAGCCAAAACUGAGUAACUAGAGUAUAGUAGAGGGUAGUGGAAUUCCCGGUGUAGCGGUGAAAUGCGUAGAGAUCGGAAGGAACACCAGUGGCGAAGGCGACUUCCUGGGCCAAUACUGACGCUGAGGUGCGAAAGCGUGGGGAGCAAACAGGAUUAGAUA